AAUAAACGCUGGCGGCGUGCCUAACACAUGCAAGUCGAGCGAGAAAGCUCCUUCGGGAGUUAGUAAAGCGGCGAACGGGUGAGCAACACGUGAGAAUCUACCCUUUAGUGAAGAAUACCCUCGAGAAAUCGAGGCUAAUACUGCAUACGUCCCUUCGGGGAGAAAGAUGGCCUCUUUGCUAUCGCUAAAGGAUGAGCUUGCGUACUAUUAGCUAGUUGGCGGGGUAAAGGCCCACCAAGGCAAUGAUGGUUAACCGGCCUGAGAGGGUGUACGGUCACACUGGAACUUAGACACGGUCCAGACUCCUACGGGAGGCAGCAGUGAGGAAUCUUGCGCAAUGGGCGAAAGCCUGACGCAGCGACGCCGCGUGGAGGAUGACGGUUUUCGGAUUGUAAACUCCUGUCGAGGGGGAGGAAGCCGCAAGGUUGACCGAUCCCUGGAGGAAGGAC
rnacentral:rRNA from 1 species